rnacentral:rRNA from 1 species
GAGUUUGAUCUUGGCUCAGAUUGAACGCUGGCGGCAGGCUUAACACAUGCAAGUCGAACGGUAACAUGAGUGCUUGCACUUGAUGACGAGUGGCGGACGGGUGAGUAAUGUAUGGGGAUCUGCCGAAUGGAUUGGGACAACAGUUGGAAACGACUGCUAAUACCGAAUAAUGUUGCGAGACCAAAGGGUGCUUACGGGCACUUGCCAUUUGAUGAACCCAUAUGAGAUUAGCUAGUUGGUGGGGUAAAGGCUCA